UGAGGACGGAAGGCGAGCAGAGGUGGAGUUGCAGGAUCUCUGUGUGACUAACUAGAUUACCGGUUAGAUAAGGCUGUAUUUGGAGGUGCCAGUGCCUGUGUUACACUUCGGCGUCGCCACAACACCGGCGCUUCGUUCACAUCGCGCGUGGAUCUCUCUUGGGAGCUUUGUUGUUCGUGGGGGAAUCGUGAGAAGGGAAAAAAGACUAUCACGAAACACCAAGAAUACAAGGAAAGCUUAAGCACUGCAGAGAGAGGACACACAAACGAACAAUCAAUAAGAGAAUCGAGAGAAAGAGAAUACCUCGCUGAGCGCUUACAACAUCAAACGUAGACAGUCACACGUGUCGGAAAACACAGUGCAACGACGGAGCCAGUUUACAAAAACGAUGGCAUUAGGUAAGGGCGCUAAGAAAACGACUUUUCUUCUUAGACACAGUAAGUACGAUAUGAAUAAAAAACCUAUUCCAUAUUGUUUUCUUUUUGUCUCGGUUUUUGUGAAAUAUGUCAAGAGCGAUCGGGAAUAUAUAACAUAAUAAGGCAGAAAUGAGUAAAAUAAUGAUUGAUUUGUUUUUUAUCCUUGCAGCUCCUUUGUUCGAGAUAUCUUAGCAGAUUAUCUAGAAAUAAAGAUCUUUGUAAAUGCAAUUACUAUGAUAUAUGUGUG